UUAACAUCUACUGUGACGUGACUCCUGGUGUUUAUGUUCUGUAUCUCCCACAGGCAUUAGCAAGUGAGAACCCACACACUUCCCAAGGCAGAUGGGUCCUGAGGGUUUCCGUUGGUGGACAAGUGGGGGCAAAAAAUGCAGUGACAGGAGGAAUCAAGAGGAAUUCUGGAACUGGAGAUUCUCCUUCCUGGAUGCUCUUGCUGCUGAAUUUCUAGAGGAAGAAUUUGUCCAUCUUCCUUGCCUGAGUGGGACCAUCCUCCAGGACUCUUCCCAGUGUCCCACUCCUUGUUUGGGUUCAGUCUUACAUCGCCACCUCUACUUUAUGUUGCUGAAGUGAAAGAAGCAUACUGGGCGAUCCAUCUUGUACGCAGGAAAACCCCGGGGGCUAUGGAGAAGGCUCAGCAUCCAGCUCUGAACUCAAUUAGCACAAAUCUCAUUCUAUAAAUUAGACCACGUUGCGGAGAAAGGAGAAAACGCGGCUCCUUGACAGGGGGAGAGAGAGAGAGAGAAAUGCUUUGGGACAGCUGCCUUCA
rnacentral:lncRNA from 1 species